rnacentral:lncRNA from 1 species
AAGCAUCCAACAGCUAAUAUAUUUCCAUACACCAACAAGGAAAUUUCAAAUUAUAUUAGUACGUAGAGCUUAUUCAAAACAACAGCAGAAAAACAACAUCAGUGCAUUACAUGUUCACGACAAAUGUUGUAAAAUAAAAACUUGUUAUGCUCUGCUACCCUAUCCACACGAUCAUGAUCAUGGAGAGAAACAAAAAGAAUGGGAUAGAAAAAGGAAGAGAAGCCUCCACGAAACGGUGAAGCUCUUUUUGCUUUGAUCCUUUGAAAGGUUUCUUGAACCUUUUGAAGGUCGAAAAGAGUGAUGAUGACCAAAGGUCACCAUGUCUUUGGACUUGCAAGGUCAAGAAAACUCGAACGACCUUCGUAAGGUUCAAAGAAGAAGGGAGGAGACGCAAGAAGAAUAAGCUCAGGAGAGAUAUCGCCACAACAUCUACAGCACUGAUUCUACUGUAUCCCUAAAAUCUUGACCUAGUUGAACUAUGAAGUAGAUAAGUUUGAAAAGGAAGGCUUCGUAGUGCACCAACGGAGACAGAGCCAUGGCUAUGACCCGGAGUCAGUGUGUGAGUUGACCCUUUGAAAGAGCAGUGGCAAGACAAAAUGAAAAAGAUGGGUGUUGAUAUUUAUAAUCAAAGCCUCUGCCGAGUACUGCCUGCUAGCUCUGCCUCUGCGUGUGAAGAAGUAAAGGCUAAGGUAUAAUUGGCUGUUCAAAAAACACAAGGGGCGUUGAUGUAUCAUUUUCCAAAAAGCAUUCCAGGAUAGAAAUAGAUAAUGAGAGUUUGUUUGUUCCCUUGGGAUUCCACAUAAAAUUUUCUUUUUAUUUUUAUUAUUAUUGUUGUUGUUGUCCCAAAAACUAUUUUAUAAUAGUGUGAUGAUAAGAAUUACAAAUAUUUGUACAAUUUUAUAUAAAAAAAUUUGUAUUAUAUUUUACUUGUAUUCAUUUUGGAUGC